GACGAACGCUGGCGGCGUGCUUAACACAUGCCAGUCGAACGGAAAGGCCCUGCUUUUGUGGGGUGCUCGAGUGGCGAACGGGUGAGUAACACGUGAGUAACCUGCCCUUGACUUUGGGAUAACUUCAGGAAACUGGGGCUAAUACCGGAUAGGAGCUCCUGCUGCAUGGUGGGGGUUGGAAAGUUUCGGCGGUUGGGGAUGGACUCGCGGCUUAUCAGCUUGUUGGUGGGGUAGUGGCUUACCAAGGCUUUGACGGGUAGCCGGCCUGAGAGGGUGACCGGCCACAUUGGGACUGAGAUAAGGCCCAGACUCCUACGGGAGGCAGCAGUGGGGAAUAUUGCACAAUGGGCGGAAGCCUGAUGCAGCAACGCCGCGUGCGGGAUGACGGCCUUCGGGUUGUAAACCGCUUUCGCCUGUGACGAAGCGUGAGUGACGGUAAUGGGUAAAGAAGCACCGGCUAACUACGUG
rnacentral:rRNA from 1 species